GGCGCAGGGCAAGCGCGCCGGCUGCCGGCAGCAGGCCAGGAACACGACGGGCCCGCGGCAGCACACCAGGAGGAGCGAGUGAGCAGCGCGCCGGAGCGGGGGAAGGGAGAGCGCAGAGCAGCAGAAAGGAAACAGCACGAAGGGGAGCCGCAGCAGCACGCCCAGCAGCGCGGCGCUCAAGGAGCCCCCCGGCAGCGGGGACGAGUUGAAGAUGGCGUCGAUGAGGAACAGGCUGGGCACCCGCAGCGCGACCUCCAGCGCGGCCCGCAGCCGCGGGCCCAGCCGCAGCCACGGCAGCUGCGGAGGGCCCGGGGCCGCCAUCCCCUCGCGAGGCGAGGAGGAAGGCGGCCUGCGGCUCCCGCCUUUAACGAGCGGCGUGUGGGGAGGGGGAAGCCCGGCGGAGCCGCUACUGCCGCGCUCCCGCCGCUCGGCCCGGCCAGGCCCCCCGCCGCGCCGCCGCCGCCUCCAUCUUCCCUCGCUGCGCUCCCUCAGCAGUAAACGUGGGCGCUCAUCCUGCUACGCCUUACUUUCCUGCAGCUUCACUUCCCCUCUUACGUAUCUUGCACGCUGCCAACAACAAAACAACCUGUGCUGUUACAUGGAAGAUAAAUCAGGAUUCAUUCCUCACGUUCGCAAAAACACUGCUUCGUAACAAAGAAACCUUCUCAAAUAAGAACGUUUAUUUGUUCCGUGAUGGCCGUAAAUCUCUGCCAGUCCUUAAGCUGCUACAGUUCCCGCCUGCCUCACGACGCAGUCAGAAGAGCAUGACAUUUUUAGCAAGUCAACGAUUUUGUUUUCUCCAAGGAAAUCUGUAGUCUUCUCUCUAAGCCCAUGUGUGCACUAUAUUUCUUUGUAAAAUUUCCACAUGUCUGCAUUUUCACCUUCUUACCAAUGUUUAGGGGUAGGCAGCCUCAACAAUCAUUUCCUGGCUUUUGAGUGACUAAUUCACUUUGAAAAAAUAAAGAUUUAAUUAGGGAAUGGUUUUGCGGAAUUCCCUGUUUUUUCACCUGUGAUACAGAAGCCCUGUCUUAUACUGUGCAUAACCCUAUACCAAGAUCAUAGGGGAAAAAAGCAUUUUCCUUUGAAAUCCUGUCUCCUUCCUCAUGCAUCUUCACAGAAGCACAGAUUAUAGAGUAUCUAACUUUUGGAAGGCGCAGGCUGACUUGAUUGAAAUAAUUGAUUAAAAAUACAUUAAUGUAAAUGCAAAUGUUUAAUCAAUAUUAGUCCAUCUGAAACAGUGGCAUUUUCCACCCAAUUAGCUGUAUGAAUUAAAAGCAGUUUUCAGGCUGCAAGUGGAAUCAACUUGUAUGCCUUUUGCCAUCUGCCACAAUAUGAUUUGCUGCAAAUGUCUGCCUUUAGCUUCACCUGUCAUAGCUCAGCCUUUUCACGUCUGACUAGUUCACGGCCCUAGAAGUCCUUCUAUUAUUUUCAAAGGAUUUUGGAUCAGGCCCAGCUAUGCUGCAUAUAGACUUUCGUAAGCAAUGCUCCACACUAACCAAACCAGAAACAUUGCCAGAUUGCUAAACAAUUGUAUUACAAAAUCCAUCUACAUGGGCAAAGUACAUUUUUUAAUCACAUGCUAAAAGGCAUAACUCUGACCUAGUAACUAGCCUAAUGCCAAAUAAUAGUUGGAGGUUAGGGGUUUAAAAUGCAGAGUGUGUAUUUCUUUAUAUUACUUGUAUUUGAAGAUGGCUGAAUCGAAGUGAUUCAAUGUUUUCUCAGUACAUUUAUGCCUCAGCUAAAUAUAAAGAUGCUAAAUAUUAAUAAAAGUGAUUUGCAAUGAAAAGCAAUGUAAAUUAA